rnacentral:rRNA from 1 species
UACGGAGGGUGCGAGCGUUGUCCGGAAUCACUGGGCGUAAAGGGCGCGUAGGUGGCCUGUGGAAGUCUGCGGUGAAAGCCCGGCGCUCAACGCCGGGUCUGCCGUGGAUACUCUCGGGCUUGAGCUUACUAGAGGCAGAUGGAAUUCCGGGUGUAGCGGUGGAAUGCGUAGAGAUCCGGAAGAACACCGGUGGCGAAGGCGGUCUGCUGGGGUAAUGCUGACACUGAGGCGCGGACAGCGUGGGGAGCAAACAGG